rnacentral:lncRNA from 1 species
GUGAAAAUGCCUGUUCACUUACCACUUGACAAGUAGUGUAGUGUACAGGUAGCUUCCUUCAGUAAUGGAAACUUGAUUCUUUUUCUCUCUCCCCUCUACCUUCCAGAGCUUUCACCAGUCACAAAAUGAUGGUGAACAACCUACACCUGCUUCUUAUGGAUCUUGUUCAAGUCCUGCAGAUGCAUGACUCCUAGAUGAUGCUUCUCGAAGAAAGUCUGACCUGAGGAAUUGGACAUCAUUUUGAACAAGGACCAGAAUUAAAGUAGCCUGUUAGUGCUGAAAACACUUCUUUACCUGACUCAAGAGUCCACUUUACCCUUCAUAAAAGCACCGGCAAGCGGAAAGAAAUGACAGUAAGACUGAGUUAUGAACUUUAAAAAGUUGAGAACAAGUAACUACUUGUACUGUGAAAGCUGGUCUCUCUGCUCUUGAUUGACUGUCUGAAAUAGGUCUUUGAAACCUGAAGUGUAAUGUUGUGACAUACUACGAAGAGUACUUGAGAUUGAACCUAGAGUCUUAUGAAUGCAAGGUACCUUGGGAUUUGAAGGCUUCACCAACUCCCGCUGGAAAGGAAUGGAUGAAUGAGCUAUCAUGCAGUGAUGGUUACAGAUGCCCAGUCCUCGGUGCUGCCCUGUCCAAGAUUAUUCUCCAGUCCAGCUCCUGGGUGAUCUUGCCAGUUCCAGGAUACUGCAAGGCAGAUCUGCAGCAGGGAUUCAGCAGCUGCAAACGAUGGAGGGUGUAAAGCAUCUCUGACUCACUGCAGAGGAGUAAAGAGAAGGAAAUUACCAAUGAUCU